AGUCAGUGUCAGUUGCUCGGCGGCGGCGGCCGUGGUCACCAGGAAGGGGACGGGACGGACGGUGAUGGUGGUCGCCGCGGCGGCGUGUGCGCCCCUCAGGAAAAGAAUACUUGAGAUCCAUUUGUAAGGAAAGAAAAGGAAGCAACAACAUAAUGCCCAGAGUUGGAGCCAAUUAAACCAGACGAGUCUCACUCUGUCGCCCAGGCUGGAGUGCGGUGGCGUGAUCUUGGCUCACUGCAACCUCUGCCUUCCGGGUUCGAGUAAUUCUCCUGCCUCAGCCUCCCAAGCAGCUGGGUCUACAGUGAGACUAAUUACAUCCUUCAAUGAAGUACCAUUUUGUGAGAAAGUGAGAAUUCAAUGAUUUAUGAAAAAAUCCAAGAAGGAGAAACAAACAUUUUCUAAUAUGAAAGUAGUAAUGACUACAGCUAUAUAAAUAACAGUAACAAAGAGUAAACAUUGCUAUCUUCAGAAAUUAAGGAAUGAGAGGCAAGGAAGAAAGGACAUUCAUCUUGGAAAGACCCAAAGCACCUUGAAAUUUGGAAGGAAUGUUUUGCU
rnacentral:lncRNA from 1 species